rnacentral:lncRNA from 1 species
CACUAUUAAUAUUAGGGGUGGUGUCUUCGGUGGCCAUAUAAUAGAUCAAUCAAUAAUAAUUAAUAAAUGACUUGAAACAAUUCCUAUGUUAGCAGUUUCAUUAAUUUCUCUCGACUAACUAUUAUUUUUAUUAUUUGUUUUUUUUAGAGAAGACAUUAGAUUUUCACUUUACAGCUUGACAAAAUGGGCUAAAAUGCGGUAGCCACGUUUUGGACCAAAUAAAACACGCCAACACUAAAAUAAAUCAAAAUAAACAUUUUAAUUAGAGCAAAUAAAAACAUUAGAUUUUAUCUUUCUCUCUCUCUCCACUGUAACUCUCUAAAAUCAUUAUCUUUCCUCUGUAGAUAUUUCUCUCUCAUCUGUUGUAUGUCUAUCCCUCCCUCCUCACCACGCAAACUCUCCCUCUCUGAUCUUCAUCCUUUUCCUCCGUCAACCCUUGCCGUCCGAUUACUCUCACCGCUGUCGCCGCCUGUACAAUAUUUCCCCUUAACCUCCACCC